UUAAGAAGGACUUAAAUCGUUAAUUUCUCAUACUAGAAUAUUGAUGUUCCGUACACUGCAUCUCACAUUUGCCAUAUAGACAAAGUGACUUAGUGCUGAACUGAUUUCUUUUCGCUCGCCGCUAACGGGU
rnacentral:rRNA from 1 species